rnacentral:rRNA from 1 species
GAUGAACGCUGGCGGCGUGCCUAAUACAUGCAAGUCGAGCGAACGGACGAGAAGCUUGCUUCUCUGAUGUUAGCGGCGGACGGGUGAGUAACACGUGGAUAACCUACCUAUAAGACUGGGAUAACUUCGGGAAACCGGAGCUAAUACCGGAUAAUAUUUUGAACCGCAUGGUUCAAAAGUAAAAGACGGUCUUGCUGUCACUUAUAGAUGGAUCCGCGCUGCAUUAGCUAGUUGGUAAGGUAACGGCUUACCAAGGCAACGAUGCAUAGCCGAACUGAGAGGGUGAUCGGCCACACUGGAAGUGAGACACGGUCCAGACUCCUACGGGAGGCAGCAGUAGGGAAUCUUCCGCAAUGGGCGAAAGCCUGACGGAGCAACGCCGCGUGAGUGAUGAAGGUCUUCGGAUCGUAAAACUCUGUUAUUAGGGAAGAACAUAUGUGUAAGUAACUGUGCACAUCUUGACGGUACCUAAUCAGAAAGCCACGGCUAACUACGUG